ACCACAUAAUAGGACAUUUUGUGGUCAUUUUCACACACCAAUUUAUUUUUCAAACUCUAAUAUUAAUAUUAAAGAUUUUUAUCUGUGCAGAGUUAAGCAUGAGUAUGCUCCCUUUUGGCAUAGAUUAUGUUUUAUUUUUAAAAUGUAUCAACGGUAGGUAUGUUAUAAAACUUACCUUCAGCGGCGCUGAAAUGCUGCCACGGGCCGUGUGCGCAACUUUGGCGCCUUUGAGUGGGGGGCGGGAUUAAAAUGCCGUUUUCUCCUGCCUUUCUCAGGCUGUUCAGCUGCUGCAGAGAAAUCGCUCCGACAUCUGUUCUAUCAAGUUUUUUAAAAACAUCGCUGGGUAAUUUAAUCGCAGGAGUAAAAUAAAAAUCGACUUUUAACGCCGUCAACGCCAACAACGGGACGGAUCGCCCGUACGGGACAAAUAAAGGUCAUCCAAGUAAGAUUGUUUCAUAUUUGUUUCAGAAUGCUACAAUCUAUAAUAACUGAAAAUUUCAUUCAGUUCUCUUAAUUUUUUUAAGAAAGUUAUGGGCUUUUGACUGUCCUCGAUGACAGCUUUUGAGUUAAGUCAAUGGAAAAGCAAUAUUGAACAAGAUGCUAAUUUCACAGUAUGAAAAUGACCAUAACUUUUUUAAUACUGAAGAUAUGAAAGUGAAUUAGGUGUCAAAUUAAACUUCUUUUUAUGCUUUGUCUGGUGGUAUAAAUUGCAGACUUGAUUUUUAAAAUCUCAAAGUUUUGUAACAUUGCUAUCAACGGUAUUAAAAAAAGAGAUACCAAA